CGUUAGCGGCGGACGGGUGAGUAACACGUGGGUAACCUACCUAUAAGACUGGGAUAACUUCGGGAAACCGGAGCUAAUACCGGAUAAUAUUUCGAACCGCAUGGUUCGAUAGUGAAAGAUGGUUUUGCUAUCACUUAUAGAUGGACCCGCGCCGUAUUAGCUAGUUGGUAAGGUAACGGCUUACCAAGGCGACGAUACGUAGCCGACCUGAGAGGGUGAUCGGCCACACUGGAACUGAGACACGGUCCNAGACUCCUACGGGAGGGCAGCAGGC
rnacentral:rRNA from 1 species